UUUUAUUUUGGACACCUCAUGUAGAGUCUCGUUGUGUCAUUUUGACAAUUUUUUAAUAUCAGCAAAAAUACAUAAUGUGUGUUACACUCGCAAAUGACGUGUAAAGUUGACGAAUUAAAUGACGAUAUUUGUCAUUUAUGUCAAAAGUAAUUUUUAUAUAAUUUAUUUUGAGUAAAAAUGAAAAUUGACAAAUGGAUUAACGACAAAUGACCCAAAUAAUUACAAAAUAAAA
rnacentral:lncRNA from 1 species